UACGAAGGGGGGCUAGCGUUGCUCGGAAUCACUGGGCGUAAAGCGCACGUAGGCGGAUUGCUAAGUCAGGGGGUGAAAUCCUGGAGCUCAACUCCAGAACUGCCUUUGAUACUGGCGACCUUGAGUCCGGGAGAGGUGAGUGGAACUGCGAGUGUAGAGGUGAAAUUCGUAGAUAUUCGCAAGAACACCAGUGGCGAAGGCGGCUCACUGGCCCGGUACUGACGCUGAGGUGCGAAAGCGUGGGGAGCAAACAGG
rnacentral:rRNA from 1 species